rnacentral:rRNA from 1 species
GCUGACGAGUGGCGGACGGGUGAGUAAUGUCUGGGAAACUGCCUGAUGGAGGGGGAUAACUACUGGAAACGGUAGCUAAUACCGCAUAACGUCGCAAGACCAAAGAGGGGGACCUUCGGGCCUCUUGCCAUCGGAUGUGCCCAGAUGGGAUUAGCUAGUAGGUGGGGUAACGGCUCACCUAGGCGACGAUCCCUAGCUGGUCUGAGAGGAUGACCAGCCACACUGGAACUGAGACACGGUCCAGACUCCUACGGGAGGCAGCAGUGGGGAAUAUUGCACAAUGGGCGCAAGCCUGAUGCAGCCAUGCCGCGUGUAUGAAGAAGGCCUUCGGGUUGUAAAG